rnacentral:rRNA from 1 species
AGAACGAACGCUGGCGGCAGGCCUAACACAUGCAAGUCGAACGAUAAGCCACCUUCGGGUGGUGGACAGUGGCAGACGGGUGAGUAACGCGUGGGAACGUACCUUUCGGUUCGGAAUAACCCCAGGGAAACUUGGGCUAAUACCGGAUACGCCCUUCGGGGGAAAGAUUCAUUGCCGAAAGAUCGGCCCGCGUCGGAUUAGCUAGUUGGUGGGGUAACGGCCUACCAAGGCGGUGAUCGGUAGCUGGUCUGAGAGGACGGCCAGCCACACGGGGACUGAGACACGGCCCCGACUCCUACGGGAGGCAGCAGCAAGGAAUUUUCCGCAAUGGGCGCAAGCCUGACGGAGCAACGCCGCGUGGGGGAGACGCCCUUCGGGGUGUAAACCUCUUUUCUUGGGGACGACGAAACGACGGUACCCGAGGAAGAAGGACCGGCUAACUACGUGCCAGCAGCCGC